AAACAGGCCUGUGAAGGGAUCGAAAAGGGUGCUGCUGGCUCUGAAGCUCUGGCUGAGAGAGACCUGAGGCCCUGAACCCCUCCUCCACCCUUCCAGGUUACAGAGUGGGAAGUCUGGGCACUUCCUGGACCAUCCUCUCCGACCCAGAGGAGAGCUCGGCCAAUGCAAACCUUCAUCCACAGCAAGACCAUCUAAUGAUCGGCCACCCAGGCUACAGAAGAAGAUGGAAAAUCCCUACCACACUCCUGCAUCUGGGCUUCUCCUGGGGUGGUACCCAGCACUGUGCUGCUUUCUGGCCCCGAAUGCAUGAGGUCAGCAGAGAAACAGCGGCACAGGGAGGGUACUGGAGGCCCAGUCUGGCAUAUUCUACUUGGCUUGUUUCUCCGUCCUGACUGGAGGCUAUGAUCUGCAGGACGUGGAGGGACCCCAGAAAGAAAUGUGGAAAUGAGGACAGACAGACUUACCUUCUGGACCUGAAGAUGGUAGGACGAUAGGCUGAGGAUCUGAAGCUCAGGCCCAAGCAGCUGGGGUGAGGAACCCUUGGGAAGGCAGGCUGUGGGUGCAGUUCAGGAGGUCCAGCUGACCCAGGAUCACUCGGGCCUUGAGGACACCAAAGACCCCAGAACAGAAAGUAAGUUAGAGACGAUCCUGAGUCCAAGGCCCCUCUCAGACCACAGAUCUAUUUUGUCCAUGGGAGCGUGGGAAGCAGCUUGUUCCCUGAUGCCACCUCAUGUCCCCUUUCAGGAAGAAAUGGUUCUUGUCAGAGGAGGGCCUUCCCUAGGGGCUGGAGACCCUGCAGAGAAGGGCCCCAGAACAGCAUCGUUCUGUUUUGUUUGUUUGUGUCGAGACAGGGUUUCUCUGUGUCACCCUGGCUGUCCUGG
rnacentral:lncRNA from 1 species